GACAGAGGAUGCAAACGUUGCUCGGAAUUACUGGGCGUAAAGCGCGCGCAGGCGGUUCGGUAAGUCAGGUGUGAAAUCCCGGGGCUCAACCUCGGAAGGGCACAUGUUACUGCCAAACUUGAGUACUGGAGAGGAGAGUGGAAUUCCCGGUGUAGAGGUGAAAUUCGUAGAUAUCGGGAGGAACACCAGUGGCGAAGGCGACUCUCUGGACAGAUACUGACGCUGAGGUGCGAAAGCGUGGGGAGCAAACAGG
rnacentral:rRNA from 1 species